rnacentral:rRNA from 1 species
UAGGGGGCAAGCGUUAUCCGGAUUUACUGGGCGUAAAGGGAGCGUAGACGGCAGUGCAAGUCUGGAGUGAAAUGCCGGGGCCCAACCACGGAACUGCUCUGGAAACUGCAUGGCUGGAGUGCAGGAGAGGUAAGUGGAAUUCCUAGUGUAGCGGUGAAAUGCGUAUAUAUUAGGAGGAACGCCAGUGGCGAAGGCGGCUUACUGGACUGUAACUGACGUUGAGGCUCGAAGGCGUGGGGAGCAAA